CAGAACUCUCAGGAAUGGACAGAGGGGUGGUCACAAGACUGGCAUGGGGAUGCUCCAAUGGCAACAUAUGGAAAGGCCAUCAGUUUACAGUAUUUCACCUCUAAGUUGGCUAGGCUUGCCAUAGCUGAAGGUGACCUGAUUUUGAUCCUGUCAAAUUCCAUUGCCUGCGACAGACGGAAGUGCCGCAGAAUAGUUGAUGUAUAGUCGAGUGGCAGGAUCCAGCCACUCAAGCUAGCUUUGCAACACCUUGGAACAUGAACUGAGCUGCCUUGUUCACAGCUAUCAACUCCCUGAGGUGGUGGCAAGGCGUAUUUUGGCUAUCUCCUGGGAAAUUACUCAAAUAUUUGCAG